GCCGGGCGUGGUGGCUCAUGCCUGUAAUCUAAGCACUUUGGAGGCCAAGGCAGGUGGAUCACCUGAGGUUGGGAGUUCAAGACCAGCCUGACCAACAUGGUGAAACCCUGUCUUUA
ensembl:misc_RNA Metazoa_SRP Metazoan signal recognition particle RNA